rnacentral:sRNA from 1 species
GGCAUUUCCCCUGCUUGCACUCAAUCCAUCCUGCUACCCCGUGAAGAAGGUGCCUGCUUCUCCUUUGCCUUCUACCACGAUUAUGCACCCAGAGCAACAGCCAGAUACUACACUGCACUAUGGGCUUCCCUCAUGGCCAUGACUCUUUCACUAUGUCCUGGCAGGCAUUGCCACCUGGGGUAUCAUUGUCAUGGCAGACCCCAAAGGGAAGGCCUACCGCGAUGUUUGAAAGUACCACCAGUGAAUCUGUCUUCUGUCUCGGUCCCCGUGACACACAGAGCAGGCAUAGAAUUUAAUGGGUGUUCUGACAGACACUUGUACAUGGACAGACAUCACUACUGUGGAUACUACAAGACUGAAAAGAAAAUCAUAUGUUGUCAUUCUCUGGCUAUAGAGUGUUCGUGGCCUUCACAGAUUUCACAGGAACCAAUAAAUCCCUCAGAGAAGUAAA